rnacentral:rRNA from 1 species
AUCCAACCCUAAAUACUAAUACCAGAUCGAUAGUGUACAAGUACCGUGAGGGAAAGGUGAAAAGAACUGAGGUGAUCAGAGUGAAAUAGAACCUGAAACCAUUUGCUUACAAUCAUUCAGAGCCCUAUGUAGCAAUACAGGGUGAUGGACUGCCUUUUGCAUAAUGAGCCUGCGAGUUGUGGUGUCUGGCAAGGUUAAGCAAACGCGAAGCCGUAGCGAAAGCGAGUCUGAAUAGGGCGCUUAGUCAGAUGCUGCAGACCCGAAACGAAGUGAUCUAUCCAUGAGCAAGUUGAAGCUAGUGUAAGAACUAGUGGAGGACUGAACCCAUAGGCGUUGAAAAGCCCCGGGAUGACUUGUGGAUAGGGGUGAAAGGCCAAUCAAACUUCGUGAUAGCUGGUUCUCUCCGAAAUAUAUUUAGGUAUAGCGUUGUGUCGUAAUAUAAGGGGGUAGAGCACUGAAUGGGCUAGGGCAUACACCAAUGUACCAAACCCUAUCAAACUCCGAAUACCUUAUAUGUAAUCACAGCAGUCAGGCGGCGAGUGAUAAAAUCCGUCGUCAAGAGGGAAACAACCCAGACUACCAGCUAAGGUCCCUAAAUCUUACUUAAGUGGAAAACGAUGUGAAGUUACUUAAACAACCAGGAGGUUGGCUUAGAAGCAGCCAUCCUUUAAAGAAAGCGUAAUAGCUCACUGGUCUAGUGAUUUUGCGCGGAAAAUAUAACGGGGCUAAAGU